AGCGGAGGAAAAGAAACCAACAGGGAUUACCUCAGUAACGGCGAGUGAAGCGGUAACAGCUCAAAUUUGAAAUCUGGCUCUUUCAGGGUCCGAGUUGUAAUUUGUAGAAGAUGCUUUGGGUGUGGCUCCAGUCUAAGUUCCUUGGAACAGGACGUCAUAGAGGGUGAGAAUCCCGUAUGUGAUUGGUGGCUUUCGCCCGUGUAAAGCUCUUUCGACGAGUCGAGUUGUUUGGGAAUGCAGCUCAAAAUGGGUGGUAAAUUUCAUCUAAAGCUAAAUAUUGGCCAGAGACCGAUAGCGCACAAGUAGAGUGAUCGAAAGAUGAAAAGCACUUUGGAAAGAGAGUUAAACAGUACGUGAAAUUGUUGAAAGGGAAGCGUUGGCAACCAGACUCGUAUGCCGCUAAUCAUCCGGGGUUCUCCCCGGUGCACUUGGUGGUUUUCGGGCCAGCAUCGGUUUCGGUGGUGGGAUAAAGGCCUUGGGAAUGUAGCUUCUUUCGGGGAGUGUUAUAGCCCUCGGUGCAAUGCCGCCUACCGGGACCGAGGACCGCGCUUCGGCUAGGAUGCUGGCGUAAUGGUUGUCAACGGCCCGUCUUGAAACACGGACCAAGGAGUCUAACAUCUAUGCGAGUAUUUGGGUGUCAAACCCAUAUGCGUAAUGAAAGUGAACGGAGGUAAGAGCCCUUAAGGGUGCAUUAUCGACCGAUCCUGAUGUCUUCGGAUGGAUUUGAGUAAGAGCAUAGCUGUUGGGACCCGAAAGAUGGUGAACUAUGCCUAAAUAGGGUGAAGCCAGAGGAAACUCUGGUGGAGGCUCGCAGCGGUUCUGACGUGCAAAUCGAUCGUCAAAUUUGGGUAUAGGGGCGAAAGACUAAUCGAACCAUCUAGUAGCUGGUUCCUGCCG
rnacentral:rRNA from 1 species